GCACUAUAAACUAUUUUUUUAAGGAGACACUGUAAACAACUUUUUUUUUCACCUUACAUAAAAAAAUAUAUUCUAUUUUGGAGUAGUUAUUUUUCUUCCAAUGUUACCCAGUUCACUAAAUAAUUGUAAUAGAAAAGAUGAACCAUCUUGACCCUAGUGAUCAUAAACUCACGCACCUUAUAUUCUUGUUUGACUUAAGUGAUAUAUCACAGCAACAUAAACACAAUCCCCAUUCAUUUUCAAAGCAUCUCAAAUACGAUUUUUCACACCAUUUUUGCGAAUUUCACCAACUUCAACGAAAUCAACAUCAAAUCAACCAAAUCAACAAGUAAGUUAUGCUUAUCCUACUUCAUUGCUUCUUUUUGGUUUAAAUUUAUGAUUUUUUUUUUUUGAGAAAUAUGAGAUUUUUAGGUUUUUAAGUUAGAAAUUGUAGUUUAGAUGUUGUUUAGAGUGCAGUGUGGUAAUUUAGGGUUUAGAAAUUGUUUGAUUUUAAGUAGAUUGAAAGUUGGACUCUAGGUAUUUGAUAAAAUGUCUAAAUGAAAAUUUGUUUGUUUUUUUGGAUUGUUAAUGAUGAAAUUAGUUAGAAAUUGAUUUGCUAUUGUUGAUCGUAGUUAGUUUGACUGCAAUGUGGUAAUUUACAGACUGAAGUGACACUGCCAAAAUUUAAGCGUUGUUGAAUGAGUAGGAAUUGACACAAUAUCCGUUGAUAAGUGUUCAAAAGUGAUAUUUAAGUGUUUUGCAAAUUAUCUAAGGAAAAGCUAUAAUUUAAUGUAAUUAUACCAAUUAUGCUUCAUGUGCCUUGCUCUACCCAUUUGUGCAGGAAAAUAAAAGCAAGGACCAAGAAAUCAUCAUUCUUUGCAAAGACCAACUCGCCAAAGCAAGUUUAACUCACCAAAGCGAGAAAUUGGCAGAAAGUCCCAGGAUUGCUAGCGCUCAACAUGCCAAAGCGAGUUCACAACAAGACCAAACUUGCCAAAGCGAGAAAACUCCGUAAACUCCCAUGCCUGAGGUUGAAGAACUUUGUGCUGGACGACCCAACACUGAAACAAAGAUAUUUGUAUGAGGAACAAAAAGACUCAUUAUCAUAAAAUAUGUUUUUUUUUUUUGAAGAUAAAAUAUAUGUUAAUAAGAUAGGAUGUUUAUAAAAAAACAUCAAUUCCAAAUGACUAGUUUAAUCAAGUCUACUAAAAACAGUAUAACAUAAGUAUCCAACACAAUUGAAAUACAUAAUACAGAAUCUUAUAUGAAAG
rnacentral:lncRNA from 1 species